CUGAUUUACAAUUAUAUUUAUAUAUUUUCAUGUAUAUGACAAGGGUACAAAAACAUGAAUUUUUCCUGUCCUGAAAAUUCUUAGGGCAAUAAUUUAUUUCAGUAUUGAUUUAAAGAAAAAGAAAAAUAAACAUGAAAAUUUACGAAGAUCUAAAACAACCACUAUUUAUUGUAUGGCAAUUCACAGGGCCUUAGAAGUUACUGCUUGAUGCCCUUUGGGAUGUCUAGUUGAUGGUUCUUCAUCAUAUUGACCAACUACAGACAACUUACUUUAUUGUGAAAUGAUUUAAUUUGAAUUCGAAACCCUUGAAAAAAUAGCCUUUUGAGCCGACUGAAAAAAACAUGAUAUAUGUCAUACAAUACAUGUAAAAUAAAAACAUGUGACUUCCAAACCCUUUUUGAGCCACCUUUAUAAGCAUGAUACUUUUGAUACAUAUAUAUGCCAAUUCACAUGUCCAAAAAAAUCAGAAUUUUAAUUGUCUCCCUUAUUCUUAAUUAUCAUACAAAUUAUUCUUUAUUUUAAAUGUCAGCAACUUGGAGAAGGCAGCCAAUUUUUUACACAUUUCUAUUGUCUGGAAUCGAACUAGAUAAUUUU
rnacentral:lncRNA from 1 species